rnacentral:lncRNA from 1 species
UCAAACUCCAUCGUCUCUCAGACUCUCUCUAACGCUCGAAACUCUUGCCGCCAUUAACGUCCUCUCCGACCAAAUCCACCAGCGUCCAUGGCUUCCCAGGUCAUGGACAGCCUGUACCCUCUUCCAUUCACCCCCAAAUCGUGGUCGUUCGAGGUUUUGAGGCUUGAUUUCAACAGAGCCUGUUCAGAUCCUCCACCGAUCUGAGUUCUUAUCGUUUCUCCGGCUCCGUUCCAACAUGUUCAAGCUUUGAAAGGGCCACUCGUGAUCCAGACAUAUUCAUGACAGAUCUUUUCCAAGCCUUCUAGUUCCUAGAGUUUCUGACAAACCCUAAAAAGGGCUUGUUCGAGGUUAUUACUUCCUUUAUUUUCUUAGAUCUGUGAUAGAUCUCUCUUCUACUCGAGUUCUGGAUACUUUUCCCUAUUUUUAUUAUUCUGUUCAAUUUAGGAUUUUCAAAAUCUUUAAAACGACUCUUCUUCUUCUUCUUUCUUUAGGCGAAUCUAUCUGUUCAUGUCAUGUCUUAUGUGUUUUUGCUUGAUUUGUCGUUAAUAUGCAUAUUUCUCUAUCUUUGCUCUGUUAUUGCUUCUGCUGGUUUUUCUACAAGUAUGCUUACAUGUCUACCUUGCAUGUUCUUUUACUAUUUCUCCUACUGAGAUUUGUUUUUUUUUACUGGAUUUGUUUGGGUUUCUGCACUUGUGUUUUUACUGCUUCCUAAGUUCUAUGUCACAUCUCUCCUCUUCUGAACUUAUUUGAGUUCUGAGCUUUCUCUUAACUUGUUCUUUACAAUUUUUCACUCUACUAUUUCUGAUUUGCUAUAUGUAUCUGUGUGCUUUCUCAUGAAACUCUAAAAGAGUUCUCUAAGUUUUGUUGUGAAGGCUUGCCUUAUCCUUUCUGUAUCUACUCGAG